rnacentral:rRNA from 1 species
GUGGUAAUGCCGGAUGUUCCACAUGAUCGCAUGUGAUUGUGGGAAAGAUUCUAUCGGCGUGGGAUGGGGUCGCGUCCUAUCAGCUUGUUGGUGAGGUAACGGCUCACCAAGGCUUCGACGGGUAGCCGGCCUGAGAGGGCGACCGGCCACAUUGGGACUGAGAUACGGCCCAGACUCCUACGGGAGGCAGCAGUGGGGAAUAUUGCACAAUGGGCGCAAGCCUGAUGCAGCGACGCCGCGUGAGGGAUGGAGGCCUUCGGGUUGUAAACCUCUUUUGUUUGGGAGCAAGCCUUCGGGUGAGUGUACCUUUCGAAUAAGCGCCGGCUAACUACGUGCCAGCAGCCGCGGUAAUACGUAGGGCGCAAGCGUUAUCCGGAUUUAUUGGGCGUAAAGGGCUCGUAGGCGGCUCGUCGCGUCCGGUGUGAAAGUCCAUCGCUUAACGGUGGAUCUGCGCCGGGUACGGGCGGGCUGGAGUGCGGUAGGGGAGACUGGAAUUCCCGGUGUAACGGUGGAAUGUGUAGAUAUCGGG